GACCGUGUAGCUCAGUUGGCAGAGCAUUGGGCUAGUAUUCCAAAGGUCGUAGGUUCGAUUCCCACCGUGGCCG